rnacentral:rRNA from 1 species
UACGGAGGGUGCGAGCGUUGUCCGGAAUCACUGGGCGUAAAGGGCGCGUAGGCGGUGCGAUAAGCGUGCGGUGAAAGCUCGGAGCUCAACUCCGAGUCGGCCGUGCGAACUGUCGGACUUGAGCACUGUAGAGGCAGGUAGAAUUCCGGGUGUAGCGGUGGAAUGCGUAGAGAUCCGGAAGAAUACCGGUGGCGAAGGCGGCCUGCUGGGCAGUGGCGAAAGCCGUAGCUGACGCUGAGGCGCGACAGCGUGGGGAGCAAACAGG